rnacentral:rRNA from 1 species
CAUUCACGGAGAGUUUGAUCCUGGCUCAGGACGAACGCUGGCGGCGUGCUUAACACAUGCAAGUCGAACGAUGAAGCCUUUCGGGGUGGAUUAGUGGCGAACGGGUGAGUAACACGUGGGCAAUCUGCCCUUCACUCUGGGACAAGCCCUGGAAACGGGGUCUAAUACCGGAUAACACUCCUGCCUGCAUGGGUGGGGGUUAAAAGCUCCGGCGGUGAAGGAUGAGC